CUCGGUGAUCAUAGGAGAAGGGUCACACCCGUUCCCAUCUCGAAUACGGCAGUUAAGCCUUCUACCGGCGAUGGUACUAACGGAGCAGUCCGUUGGGAGAGUAGCUAGUCGCCGAGA
rnacentral:rRNA from 1 species